GUGAAUCAUCAAAUUUUUGAACGCAAAUUGCGCUUCCUGGCAUCCCGGGAAGUAUGCCUGUUUGAGGAUCAGUAUUAAUAAAAAAUCGAUUUAGUUACAAAUUGUGACGUUUCCUGAGUUUGUGCUAUCUUAACCUUUUUCGUUAAGAUGCUUAAAAUUCACCUUUUUGCGUAUUUUUAUACGUUCAUAUAUUUUUUUUAUUCCUCUCUUCUUAAUGCCAAAAUCUUAUUAGAUGCGAUCACAUCAUGUGGCUUCGUCUCCUUAAAAUUUUCAU
rnacentral:misc_RNA from 1 species